rnacentral:rRNA from 1 species
AAGAUGGGGGGACCAUCCUCCAAGGCUAAAUACUCGUGAUCGACCGAUAGUGAACCAGUACUGUGAAGGAAAGGCGAAAAGAACCCCGGGAGGGGAGUGAAAUAGAACCUGAAACCGCAUACAUACAAACAGUAGGAGCCCGUGUAGUCGGGUGACUGCGUACCUUUUGCAUAAUGGGUCAGCGACUUACGUUUUGUGGCGAGCUUAACCGAGUAGGGGAGGCGUAGCGAAAGCGAGUUCGAAUAGAGCGAGAAGUCUCAAGGCGUAGACCCGAAACCAGAUGAGCUAUCCAUGGCCAGGUUGAAGGUGUGGUAACACACACUGGAGGACCGAACCGACUAGUGUUGCAAAAUUAGCGGAUGAGCUGUGGAUAGGGGUGAAAGGCUUAACAAAUCUGGAGAUAGCUGGUUCUCCCCGAAAACUAUUGAGGUAGUGCCUCGUGUAUUGCUCCAGGGGGUAGAGCACUGUUAUGGCUAGGGGGACAUGGCGUCUUACCAAACCAUGGCAAACUCCGAAUACUUGGAAGUAAGAGCACGGGAGACAGAGCACCGGGUGCUAACGUCCGGACUCAAGAGGGAAACAACCCAGACCGCCGUUUAAGGUCCCAAAUAUUGACUAAGUGGAAAACGAAGUGUGAAGGCUAAGACAGUCAGGAAGUUGGCUUAGAAGCAGCCAUCCUUCAAAGAAAGCGUAAUAGCUCACUGAUCGAGUCCUCAUGCGCGGAAGAUGUAACGGGGCUAAGUCAAUAACCGAAAGCGCGGAUUUGCACGAUGAGUGCAAGUGGUAGGGGAGCGUUCUGUAAGCCUGCGAAGGUGGUUCGAGAGGACUGCUGGAGGUAUCAGAAGUGCGAAUGCUGACAUGAGUAACGUUAAAGCGGGUGAAAAGCCCGCUCGCCGUAAGCCCAAGGUUUCCUGCUCUACGUUCAUCGGAGCAGGGUGAGUCGGCCCCUAAGGCCAGGCUGAGAAGCGUAGUCGAUGGGAAGCAGAUUAAUAUUUCUGCACCAUGUGCAAGUGCGAUGGGGGGACGGAGUGCGAAAGAUCAUCCGGGUGUUGGAUGUCCCGGUUUGUGAGUGUAGAAGGCCGACAGGCAAAUCCGUCGGCGGAUCUUCGAGACAAAGCAUCGAGGUUCUACGGAACCGAAGUGAUCGGAAGUGCUUCCAGGAAAAGCCUCUAAGCUUCAGCUUGUAUAUGACCGUACCGUAAACCGACACUGGUGGGCGAGUUGAAUAUACUCAGGCGCUUGAGAGAACUCGGGAGAAGGAACUCGGCAAAUUGACACCGUAACUUCGGGAUAAGGUGUGCCUUUGUAGCGUGAAGAGAGAAACACUCGGAGCGUGAAGAGGCCUCAGAGAAUCGGUGGCUGCAACUGUUUAUUAAAAACACAGCACUCUGCAAAGACGAAAGUCGACGUAUAGGGUGUGAUGCCUGCCCGGUGCUGGAAGAUUAAGUGAUGGGGUGAGAGCUCCUGAUCGAAGUCCCAGUAAACGGCGGCCGUAACUAUAACGGUCCUAAGGUAGCGAAAUUCCUUGUCGGGUAAGUUCCGACCUGCACGAAUGGCAUAAUGAUGGCCACACUGUCUCCUCCCGAGACUCAGUGAAGUUGAAGUGUUUGUGAUGAUGCAAUCUCCCCGCGGCUAGACGGAAAGACCCCAUGAACCUUUACUGUAGCUUUGCAUUGGACUUUGAACCGAUUUGUGUAGGAUAGGCGGGAGGCAGAGAAAGCGCAACGCCAGUUGUGCCGGAGCCGACGUUGAAAUACCGCCCUGAUUUGUUUGAGGUUCUAACCGCGACCCGUGAGCCGGGUUCGGGACCGUGCAUGGCAGGCAGUUUGACUGGGGCGGUCUCCUCCUAAAGGGUAACGGAGGAGUACAAAGGUACGCUAGGUACGGUCGGAAAUCGUGCUGAUAGUGCAAAGGCAAAAGCGUGCUUGACUGCGAGACCGACAAGUCGAGCAGAUGCGAAAGCAGGUCUUAGUGAUCCGGUGGCUCUGUAUGGAAGGGCCAUCGCUCAACGGAUAAAAGGUACUCUGGGGAUAACAGGCUGAUACCGCCCAAGAGUUCAUAUCGACGGCGGUGUUUGGCACCUCGAUGUCGGCUCAUC